rnacentral:rRNA from 1 species
GACGAACGCUGGCGGCGUGCUUAAUACAUGCAAGUUGAACGCUGAAGGCUGGUACUUGUGCCGUCCGGAUGAGCCGCGCACGGGUGUGUCACGCGUGUGGCCUGCGCCUUUGAGCGGGGGACCACCUUUGGACAGGAAUGCUAAUCCCGCAUAAACACUUUAAACACAAGUGUUAAGUUAGAAAGAUGCCAUUGCAUCACUCAAAGAUGAUCCAGCGUUGUAUUAGCUAGUUGGUGAGGUACAGGCGCAUCAAGGCGGUGAUACCUAGCCGACCGGAGAGGGCGGGCGGCCACAUUGGGACUGAGACACGCCCCAAACGCACACGGGAGCCAGCAGUAGGGAAUCGGCGGCAAUGGACGAGAGUCAGACCGAGCAAGGCCGCGUGCGUGAGGAGGGUUGUCGGAUCGUAGAUCACUGUUGGUAGAGAAGAACGCUGUUGAGAGUGUAAAGCUCAGCAAGUGACGGUAACUACCCAGAAAGGGACGGCUAACUACGUG